ACAGAACGCACCCUUAAUCGUAAUUACUCUUCUGAUUCGUCUGCAUCACUUAAUAUCAAAGUAGGCGAUUAUGGAAGUAGAUUUUUGUAAGAAGAAGACGACAUUCCAAUUAAAAAAGCUGAUAGAAUUUUUCGUCAAAACGGCGAAGGUGUUCGGAAUGCUUAAAUCUUAACUUAGUGCGCGCAAGGUGUUUGAUGGAGUGCGUGAACCUGUUGCAAUGUCAGGAGGACUUUAGUUUGGCGGAAAUGAAGGAUUUUGUGACGCACAGGAUUUGUUUGGUUUCAAGCAUAAUAAAAGCAAGUCAAACUUUUGAGUGUUGAUUUUAUGUGUUAUCAAGUAACAAGAUAUGAAGAACUCAGGUGUAUUUCAGCUCACAGUUCAACUAGGGUUUUUGGAUAUGGAGAACUCAGGCGUAUUUCGGCUCACAGUUCAACUAGGGUUUUUGGAUUCACUCCUGAAACAAGAGUUUAGAGAAGAAGUUGCAGAUUCAAGUUCUUGAUGUGCAUGGGAAUCAUAAGCAUCCAGAUGGGAGUUUUAGUACACGAGUACUUUCUUAUUUAAGUUAUCUUGAAUUCAUGUUUGACUUUACAUGACCAAUGGGGUCAAGGGUUGACUUAUUUUGAAGAUGGGACUAGUAAUUCAUUUACAUACUUUCUUAUUUCAGUUGUAUUAAAGUAUUUCCAGUUUAUUUUAAAAGACUUCCGUUGUAUUC